GAGACCUCAGGUCAGGCGGGGCUACCCGCUGAGUUUAAGCAUAUCAAUAAAGCCGAGAAAA
rnacentral:rRNA from 1 species